rnacentral:lncRNA from 1 species
CACUCUACAAAGUUUUUAUCAUCAUCACUUCUUACAAAUAUCAGCUUGAAAUAAGAGUUGUUUUCUCAACAAAUGGAAUGCUCCCAAAUUUCCCAUGCCAAAUUACUGUUAUCUUGAAAACUGCCAGGCACAACUUAAUUAAUAACAAGGAAUCUAACUGUGAAAAUCAUGAUAAUGUUGAGAAUCAUAUGAUUGUGAUAAUGAGUCUUGUGUUGAGUUGCACGUACAAGUUGUUGAGUUGUUAAAAUAAUACUAUCACAGACUGAAUAUUGAAGUCUCAUCCACUCGACAUAAUUUCCAGUUCUUCAACAAUUCAACCUUAAUGGGGAGAUAAGAAAAAGUUCCCAGUUUCUAUACUUACAAAAAUAAUCUUAAAAAUAGAACAUGCCUUUUCAAGUAACUAUCAGAAAUAUUGAUAAUGUAGUGCUCCUAAUAUUGUUGAUUCAAUUAAUAAAAAUGAUAUUGAUCAAUGACAGUUGACUAACAAUCAAACAAUCACGAGAGUUUAAUACAUUAACAUUAACCUAUGAAAACAAAGUAAUCAGCUCAAUCAAUUGCACACCAUAUAUGUAGCAGAUGAAUAUCACACAAUGCAAAACAGAGUUGAAACUACUUUUAAAAAAUAAAAAAUUACCUAAAGUGUUUGAGUACUUGGGAAGCAGAAUAUUUGCCUGACAAAGACAGGAUAGUGAAGAAUAAGAAUGGAUCUUGUAAAACCUACAAGAAAGCUUAAAUUAAGAACAAAAUAAGAAAAUCUUAAAGCCUUUACAGGAUUCCAAAAUCAUCUUUUGUUCAAUAAAUUGAAAAUAUGGACCCAAAAAUACAACUACAACAAUAAAAUCGUUGCAGUGAUUAUGUGAUGAGGGGUCGUUUCAGCCUUGAAUUGUUCAAUAAAUUGUAGGAUUAAUUAUUCAUAUGGAUGCGGCUAAAUAAUCUAAAAUUGGGAUUCAUAUGGAAUCAAAACUAAGAUUAGUUGUGAAGAUGGAGAUCGUGAUUUACCUUUGAACCAAUGGUGAAUGGCUUUAACAGAUAUUCUUGAUGAUGACUGUGAUGAAACUUGG